AACAGUUAGUGUGAAGGUUCUGGAAAGGGACCUUGCGCCACGCUGUGUAGGAACUACUAAGCGUCGGUCGUUAACCGUUCGCAGAUUGCGUGAGGGAACGUACGCCUUCAGGAGAGAGUUGAGGUAGGAGGGAGCUGUUCCAGACAAGGUCUUGUAGGUGAGCAUCAAGGCCUUGAAUUUGAUGCGGGCGGAUACAGGAAGUCAGUGGAGGGAGAUGAAGACGGGUGUGACUUGGGUUCUCUCGGGCUGGUUGAAGACGAGGCGUGCUGCUGCAUUCUGAAUCAUCUGAAGGGGUUUGAUGGAGCUGCCGGGAGGCCCGAGAGUAGUGAGUUGCAGUAGUCCAGUUUUAAUAUGACAAGAGCCUGGACUAGUAUCUGUGUAGCCAACAUCGAAGAACAUCGUUAUCACCUAUGAUAAAAAAAAAUAGGUUGUGCUUUUGCAUAUGCAUGUGCUCGUCUUUUUAUUGUGUGUAUCUCUGCGAGAACAAAAAACUUCGAUGUCUUCUAUACAUAAGGCUUACAAACUUUUUUUAAGGCAGAGCUCCACCCAAUGAAAUGGUGGCCUUUCCAGCAGGCAGGAGCCCAGAACUCAGCCAAAUAAAAGUCUCUCCAGGGUACAAAAGAUCUUUGCACUGCUUUUACGUGAACUCCACCUAACAUUUCCCAUCGUCCGACAAAGUUCCAUGACAUCAAUGUUAAGAGUUCUUUACUGCUUGGAAAUUGGACAUUUUGCCAAAAUUCCUGAAGACCGGAGACAAGUCGAGUCGGGAAACGGGACUGAUUAGAAACACAGCAGAGACGGUGGCUUCCGCGCGUCUGCUCUCGCUAGAGAGAGAGAGAACUGAUUUUCAGUGUGCAGUAAUUUCACAGUGUCUCAGUACUUGAACAUGAAUGCACACCUUAUAUACUCACAAACAAAGCAAUGUAGACCGCAUCACUUUUAAAUUCUUGAUUUUGAUUGGUCAGAACGUCAGUGGGUCAUACUUAGCCAUUUCUGUAGUAAGAGCUUAUACAAGGACAUCAAAUCUAGAGUCACUCUAAUUGAGGGUCAGAGAAAGUAUACCAUGUAGAAAAAAGUCUGUGUUGGAAUAUAAGCUGCUAUAAAUGUUCAUAAAGGGCUUAUGUAGGUGUCAUUUUGGAACAAGAGAUGUUAUUAAAUGUUUAUGAAGGGCUUAUGUAGGUGUCGUGUUGGAACAAGAGAUGUUAUUAAAUGUUUAUGAAGGGCUUAUGUAGGUGUCAUGUUGGAACAAGAGAUGUUAUUAAAUGUUUAUAAAAUGCAUAGGUAGUCAUGUUGGAACAAGAGAUAUUAAAUGUUUAUAAAGGGCUUAUGUAGUGUCAUGUUGGAACAAGAGAUGUUAUUAAAUGUUUAUCAAACGCAUAUGUAGUCAUGCUGGAACAAGAGAUGUUAUUAAAAGUUUAUAAAGGGCUUAUGUAGGUGUCGUGUUGGAACAAGAGAUGUUAUCAAAUGUUUAUAAAGGGCUUAUGUAGUGUCAUGUUGGAACAAGAGAUGUUAUUAAAUGUUUAUAAAGGGCUUAUGUAGUGUCAUGUUGGAACAAGAGAUGUUAUCAAAUGUUUAUAAAGGGCUUAUGUAGUGUCAUGUUGCAACAAGAGAUGUUAUUAAAUGUUUAUAAAGGGCUUAUGUAGGUGUCAUUUUGGAACAAGAGAUGUUAUCAAAUGUUUAUAAAGGGCUUAUGUAGUGUCAUGUUGCAACAAGAGAUGUUAUUAAAUGUUUAUAAAGGGCUUAUGUAGUGUCAUGUUGCAACAAGAGAUGUUAUUAAAUGUUUAUAAAGGGCUUAUGUAGUGUCAUGUUGCAACAAGAGAUGUUAUCAAAUGUUUAUAAAGGGCUUAUGUA
ensembl:lncRNA